rnacentral:misc_RNA from 1 species
GAAAUGCGAUAAUUAAUGUGAAUUGCAGAAUUCAGUGAAUCAUCGAGUCUUUGAACGCACAUUGCGCCCCCUGGUAUUCCGGGGGCAUGCCUGUCCGAGCGUCAUUGCUGCCCUCAAGCACGGCUUGUGUGUUGGGCUUCCGUCCCUGGCAACGGGGACGGGCCCCAAAGGCAGUGGCGGCACCAUGUCUGGUCCUCGAGCGUAUGGGGCUUUGUCACCCGCUCCCGUAGGUCCAGCUGGCAGCUAGCCUCGCAACCAAUCUUUUUAACCAGGUUGACCUCGGAUCAGGUAGGGAUACCCGCUGAACUUAAGC